rnacentral:rRNA from 1 species
AACGAACGCUGGCGGCAUGCCUAACACAUGCAAGUCGAACGAGACCUUCGGGUCUAGUGGCGCACGGGUGCGUAACGCGUGGGAACCUGCCCUUAGGUUCGGAAUAACUCCCCGAAAGGGGUGCUAAUACCGGAUAAUGUCUUCGGACCAAAGAUUUAUCGCCUUUGGAUGGGCCCGCGUUGGAUUAGCUAGUUGGUAGGGUAAAAGCCUACCAAGGCGACGAUCCAUAGCUGGUCUGAGAGGAUGAUCAGCCACACUGGGACUGAGACACGGCCCAGACUCCGACGGAAGGGAGCAGUAGGGAAUAUUAGACGAUGGGCGAAAGCCUGAUCCAGCAGUGCCGGGUGAGUGAUGAAGGGGUUAGGGUUGUAAAGCUCUUUUACCCGGGAUGAUAAUGACAGUACCGGGAGAAUAAGCUCCGGCUAACUCCGUG